UACGAAGGGUGCAAACGUUGCUCGGAAUUAUUGGGCGUAAAGCGCACGUAGGCGGCCUGUUAAGUCGAACGCGAAAUCCCCGGGCUCAACCCGGGAACUGCGUCCGAUACUGGCAGGCUUGAAUCCGGGAGAGGGAUGCGGAAUUCCAGGUGUAGCGGUGAAAUGCGUAGAUAUCUGGAGGAACACCGGUGGCGAAGGCGGCAUCCUGGACCGGUAUUGACGCUGAGGCGCGAAAGCCAGGGGAGCAAACGGG
rnacentral:rRNA from 1 species